UCUAUGAUCUGGGCCACUGAAAUUUGCUAACUUUGAAUUCUGCAAUGGUAUUUUUAGAAUUGGUUUCUGAAUGUGGAGCCAUGCUUUAAUUUCUAUGCAAGACUAGAAUACCAUGUUGGCUGACCCCUAUAAAUGCUUGAGCGUGUUUGGAAGAAGCACAUCUGUGUCUAAUGGGUCUAAUUAGAAAUUAAAAACUUGCUGCUUUAUAGCUUUGGGUGAGUAGAAAAGGAUUUUAAUAGAGAGACUGUGUCUUGAUAUACACAUGGUGGGGGGAUAAGAAGAAAGGUGACCCUCAGAAACGUCACACUAGUUUCUUCCAGUUUUUGAGGCAUGUGCACAAAAGCCCAGUAUGUUUCCAUCUUUAAAUAAUGCUCAGAUCUCUAGAGGUAAAUGCUAUUAUACACUUCAUCUUGGUUAAAAUAUAGGUGAAUGCCAUUGAUUUGCCCUGCUUCCUAGCUGUGGUAAGUGCUGCUUUCAAGCGCUUGUGUCUCACAAGAAAAUGACAGCAUGUUUUCAGCAGCACGUGGAAACAUGAAGGCGUAUCAUGAGAUAAUUAUUGGAGCGCAGAGCCUGCUUCCAUAACAUAGUUUGGUUGCGGAAGGACAGGAGGCUUAUGCGACAGUGAAUCUGUCCAUUUUCCUCUGGCAUAUGUUUUUGUUGGCUGAUACAAGCCAAUUUUAUAGCUCUUUUCCAAAGAUAAUUAGGACACCAUAUUUCAGGUUCACUGAAAAACAGCAGAAGGGUAGAAGAGACCCACAUGAGUGCCCCACUAUGGGAAGCACGGGUGGAAUUAAGGCAGGCUGGGGUCUGUGUGGCAUCUGCCUGCAAGCUGGGCCGUGCUCUCGCCUGGUCCGUGUGAUGCUUUCUGCUUCCUGACAGUGAUGAUCUGGGAGCUAUAUUGCAGAGAGCUGGGGAGAGGAUGGUUAAAGGGCAAAAUAAAGAAAUCUUUGUGUAACCAAGAUUCAUUAGUUUUCCUGAUUAUGGAACAGUCUGUUACUUUUAUUUUAGAAGGAAAGUAGAAGGGUUGAUAUUUAGAGAAAAAAUCUGGCUAUGGAUCAGUGUAAUCUAACAACUUGUGAAGUACAAAGCGUGUUGAUGAAGGGUGAACUUUGCCCACAUGGUAGCUAAGAGCUUGGGGUCGGGACUAUAUGAGAUAAUUCAGAAAGGGCCCUCUGAGCAUCAUGUUUUCUUAACUUUCAUCUUGUUUCUGAGGCCAUAAGCUUAAUUCCUUCCACCCUGUGCUUCAGUUUCUUUGUUCCUGCUUCUCUGAUGCAUCUCCUAUUGUCCCCAGUAGCCCAAUGUUCCUCUGUAUAUUGUUCAAGGUUUUGAUAGUUGGGGAUUUUUUUGUUGUUUAAAUGAUAAAUUGUGAUUUCCUUCAGGCAGAAGAUGGAAGAAAAAUACAAUCUAAGCAACAGAUUGAAUUGUUCUGUGAAAGCCUCAGUUACAAUAAUGUUGGCAUUUCCCUCUCCCACACAGUCUUAUAUUGAAAGAUGUGAUUGGGAAAAGAGCCGUAUUGGAGAAACCUGCACUAGUGUUUCAGACGCUUUAAAUGAAUUAGCUGUCCAUCACAUCACAACAGAGCAUAGCCACUCAAGUCGUGCUGUGGUCCAUUUUCAUUAGCAGAGUUCCUUUUGCUUGUACAAAUUCACUUCAAAAUCUAAGUAGAAACGAAAAUUAAUCGCUUUCUGCUGCUCUGAUGUUCUGGGGCAAAGUGCAAUGACUGUGCUCUUACACAAAAAGUCAUCUGUCACCCAACUCUGCUAGCCUGUGCACAUCCCAUGGGAGUGGGGAGCCUUGGCAUUCUGGCGUGGGCCAGCCUACCAGCCAGAUUCAGUGUGAACCAUCUGCCCUUCACAGCAGUGCUCUGUAAUAAUCUCGGCGUGUUUUAUGCCCUGGGAACUUUGUGCAAACACUUUCUCAUAUGGUGGAUAACGAGGAAGUCCUAAACAUUUCCAGCCUGCAGAGAGGCUGAGAAAGCAGUAGCUGAAUCUGGGGUGGGUCAGAUGCCAGGGGUUAGCAGAGAUGGUGAUGCCGUGGACUAAAAAUACUCAUUCCACCACACACAGUGCUGGCAGAUUGAGCCCUGGCACACUGAGCUGCUCUUGCACAGCCACUUCUGCAGGGAAGGCAGUUCACUGCACUGUGCUUGUCCCUGUGGAGACAAGCUGUUCUCUCUGCACAGCCCAGAGCAUCUUUCCCAGCCCUCUCUGGUUUCUGCUACCAGGCUGCAGCUGUAGGGGUGGUUUUGCUAACCACUAAUCAUUUGUUUAAUUCAAACAGGGAAGGAAGGGUGUUGGUGAAUGUGGCUUUUCUCCCACUAUCUUAGAUUUCAGAGCUGCUGUCUCUAACGCUGCACUGUGGGGGAGGAUCGUUUUGUUCUUUUCAUGUGGAGCUGUGACGUGUAAGUCAUCAUGACCUGUAAACCCUCAUCCUCUUGGGGUCCUCCUUAUCGGCUGUAUAUAGCCAGAGUGGGGCAGUAUCCUCCAAGCUGGCUGAGGAUGGUGGGAAACAGAGAGGAGAGGGAAUGCAAUGCUGGAGGGCAACAGAGCAGCUUCAUUCUCCCAGAAACCUGUCCCCCGUCUCCAAGAUUGCACAGUCUGACCUUCAAAAAAGGGGAUGAGCUUCAGGAAACUUGGACAGAGGUUUUCCAUGUUGCAGAGUGCUGGAUAGAUGGAGUAGCACAGCAGUUCUGUAGUUCAUAUUGGGCUCAAAAGACAUACUUAUGCACCCCUGAAUUCUCAGAGCUGGGACAAAAGACUGGGAGAGAAACAUUGCGUUGUCUGUCACAGCCGCUGAUGGAAUUAAAAUAUGUCAGGAUUCCUGAUAAAGUGGUCCUGCUCUUUAGUAUGGUGGAGCCCCAUUUAGUCAGCACCUGCAGAAAUUGAGGUAUCUGAGUUGGAUCUUCCAGUUCGUUUCAUUGCUGGAAAGGAGGAGCAUUAUAUGUUUGAAGCCAUGUUUCAGUUGUGAACAAGAGAGAUUUUCCAUUGUGUUUUCCCCCAUCCUUCUCUUUGGUUUUUUUUUUGACAUUUUUAAAUAACAGAUAGUUGCUAACCAGACUGUUCCAAAAUCAGCAGAGUAAAACAGAGCUAGUUUUGCUAAGUUUUACUGCUCAUGAUCCUUUUCUCCUCCCGAAUAGAAGCAUGCAGAACGUCUGUUCUCGCUGUGCUGCUGGUGGGCAGAGCACAAACAGCCACAGAAGUCCUGUCCAUCUGCAGGCAAAGGACAGCAUCGUGUUGCCUCACAUGCGGAAGCACAGGGGUCAGGGGUUUGCUGCUUUCCCAUGCAAAGUUUGCUUUUCUAGCAGGUGUGGUCAUCUCUGUUAGGGACUGAGUCCUGGGCUGCUGUUUUGUAUUGGCUACAUAAAUGACUGCUAAUAAAAUCUACAAUUAAACCAGGGCACCGAGGUGAAAAGCUCUGUCUUCUUUCAGCAGCGCCUUACAACAUUAAGUCAUCAGGGUCAAUCUUAUGAACAGAAUUGGCAAAUUGACAAGUCAUUUUUUUUUUUUAAUCUAACUGCCUUUGGAUUGUGAUGAUCAGUUCGAUCCACUGACACUUAAAUGAUUCAAAACCUUCAAAUCACUGUCUUGGACAGUAAACACCUUGACAUAGUUUCCAAAACCAAUUAUAAACUACAGUUAAAAGGCUGUUUUAAUUAUUGAAAACACCCCUGAGAUAAAUACACCUUCAGAAUGUUAGAUGCCUCCUUCUGAAACUUGUUGUAUAUGAACUGAGACAAAUACAAAAGGAGAAGAAGUCAACUGUAAGAGAGGUAAAUCUGCUGUCUGCCUUCUAAUCUUGUGACUCCCAUGUGGUGUUUCAGGCUAUGUUCUGAAUGGCAAGAUGAGUAUACUGGUCCUAAAAAUUUUAAUAAGCCUUUUGUAAAUGAGUUUUAACUUAAUUAAGAAUUUCUAGCUAUGGUUAUGACCUGCAGAGAAAUGUUUAAUUGGCUGUUUUCCCUAGCUGGUUAAAUGCCUUCUUACUAGAAGUGUGUAUGCUUAUGGGAUUUGAAUGCUUCAAACCUAGUGUAAGCCAGGAUUCCUGUACUUAACACUGCUGCCAAAAUUUUCACCAGUGACCUCUGCCAAGUCAACUCUUCACUUCAGCACCCACUUGCCUGCCCUGGUCUGCUUUUCCCUCGGAGAUGAAUGCGGGUAGUGGGAGGCAACAGAAACAUACUCUUCUUUGAUGGAAGCAUGGGCAGAGGUAGAGUUUCCCACAGAGGUGGAGUCUCCAUCCCUGGGGAUACUCAAAAUCCAUCUUGUUAUGGUCCUUGAGCAGGGUGGGGUUGGACCAGAUGACUUGCAGAGGUCCCUUCAUACCUCAGCCAAGCCUGUGUUCCUGCUUGGUUGUGGUUGAAAACAAUCCAGAGUUUGAAUUCAUAUUUCAGCGGUUGAUAGCCAAAACCUGGAAAUCCAGUCACGUCUGCGUACAGCCAUUAUUGAGCUUAAUGAGAAUUGUAUAUCUGCAACAAAUGGCUCCCUGUUCAUCUUCAUAAAAUCCUCCACUGCUAAAAUGAUCUCAGACAGUUUUUGCAUGAAUCCCUGGUUGAAAGUAACUGUCUUGUAGCAGUGGCCAUCUGGAAAUGCCUGUUACAGCAUAGCUAUGAGGGGUGAAGACAAUCUCUCUCAUUUCCCAUAUAAAACUCUUUAAGUAUUGUGUUUCAUUUGAGAGAGCAGCCACAUGGUAGUUACCACUGUUGCAAACCACUGCACUGAUUCAGAUGCAUUGAGAUGAGCAGAUAGUGUGAAGAAGUGGAUAGAAAAUGCCAGAGGACUGCGUGUGCAAGAAAACCUUUAAAGCAAGUGCUGCUGGAAGAGUGAGCAAUAUUCUGCUUAUUAAUGUAGAUUGGAAUUUCCUGCUAGCACAGAAUAAUGCAAAGCCCAGAGAUAAGCUCAGGGAGAACCUGAAUAAUGGCCUCGGGAAACCCUCAAUUACUUUCUGCUGAUGAGCCGGGAGCUGGUGUGAUGAUGCAGCACCAUGGCCAGUCUGGAGGUGGGAAAAUUGUUGGAGCCUUGGAUGGAAAGGUGGACAACAGCACUGCAGGCAUAAAACUGCCCCUAUGUUACCUGACGUGCAAGCCAAUGCUAGCUACUGAAGAAGAUAACUCCAGAGAGCACCUGCCUCUGCUUUACGGUUUUUAACCUGAUAGCUGUAUAAAAUAAACAACUUCAGAGCAGAA